CCUCUGGAGAAUCCCAGCGACGGGGGCCGAAGGUGUAAGGCGCGAAAGCGGCGCCGAUCUCUCAGGCAAAAGGACAGAGUGGA
rnacentral:ncRNA from 1 species